UACGUAGGGGCAAGCGUUGUCCGGAAUCAUUGGGCGUAAAGAGCGUGUAGGCGGUCCGAUAAGUCCGCUCUGAAAGCCCGGGGCUCAACCCCGGGAGGCGGGCGGAUACUGUCGGGCUAGAGUCCGGAAGAGGCAAGUGGAAUUCCUGGUGUAGCGGUGAAAUGCGCAGAUAUCAGGAGGAACACCGAUGGCGAAGGCAGCUUGCUGGGACGGUACUGACGCUGAGAACGCGAAAGCGUGGGGAGCAAACAGG
rnacentral:rRNA from 1 species